AGGACGAACGCUGGCGGCGUGCCUCAUACAUGCAAGUGGAGCGACGAACCAGGAUUUAUCCUGGGGCAAAGCCGCGAACGGGUGAGUAACACGUGGGUUACCUGCCCCGAUGAUUGGGACAACCCGAGGAAACUCGGGCUAAUACCAAAUGUGUUCUUGGUCGUGAUGACCAAGAAGAAGGAAGCCUCGGCCUCCGCAUCGGGAUGGGCCCGCGGCCCAUUAGCUAGUUGGUGGGGUAAUGGCCUACCAAGGCGACGAUGGGUAGCUGGUCUGAGAGGACGAUCAGCCACACUGGGACUGAGACACGGCCCAGACUCCUACGGGAGGCAGCAGUAGGGAAUUUUGCGCAAUGGGGGAAACCCUGACGCAGCAACGCCGCGUGGAGGAUGAAAUCCCUUGGGAUGUAAACUCCUUUCGAUAGGGAAGAUAAUGACGGUACCUAUAGAAGAAGCCCCGGCUAACUUCGUGCCAGCAGCCGC
rnacentral:rRNA from 1 species